UACAGCGAGACCUCCGUCCCUUUUCCCCUUCCCCUCAGCGAGCGGUUUGCCUGAUCUCCGUGCGGGCGAAUCGGUUGGCCCUCAGUUGAUUUCCUGCCACAUGAUUCGGCCUCUUCUUGCGAUUUCUUUUCCCCAAGAUUUGGUUUUCUUUCCUUCUUGAGAUUGCUCUUUUCUGCUCGUCCGUGGUUCCGUGGGAGGUAGCUCCCGGCGGCCAAGGUUCAGGGCGCCAGCGACUCUCCACCCUCGUCCUCUGCCAAGCAAGAUGCCACCUCGUCCCUCUCACCCCUGGUGGAAUUUCCAUUUAAGCUCUGCCUUCUGGUUUCUUCCUACCCCUACCCUAGCUCGCUUGGCAUGGUUCCUUACUUCUGCGUGAGCAAUUUUACUCCAUGGUGUUUGCACAUCCAUGGAUCUAGAAAUACUGGAUUCUGUAGGUUGCUGCAAAAAGUUGAUUGUCUCUUUUUACCAAGAAAGAUGGAGAAAUAGUUAGUAAUAGGUUGUACGUGUUUCUGUGGCAUAUGCAUCAGUUUUCUUUGUAAUUGAUUUAUGUAGAAAAAGUGAUUUUUUUUUGUGUGGUCUAGAUCUGGUAAGGUAAGUAGGGGAUAUUUUCAGCUCCUGCAAUUUUCUUGUGCCUUUUGGGGCCGAUCAAUAGCUUGGCCAGCAAGGGCAGCAAUAAGAAUUUUGAGCAGUGUAAUACAGCUAGAAUUAUUUUUGCUAGGUUCUUUGAGAGGUGUGAUGGGCAGAAUACUUCAGCUGGCAACGCGUUUGCCCGGGGUCGGCGAGAAAAUAUGGGUUGGGUGCCGCAAGAUAUGAUGUUGAAUGUGGUGUUGCUCUGUCCGUUGGUUGCAUAUACAACAUGCAUGUUCAAGUGCUGGUGUAUAUACCUCAAGAGAUGCUAUGUGGAUGGUUUCCUCAUUUUCAAUGGUUGGAUGGCUUGAAAGGAGAGACCUAGAGCAACAUCAGCGACCACAUUAAACCUUACUCUGGAAUUACUGCAGGUGAUGGAAGAGGAGAUCGACUAGGAAGGAAAUGAGCAAUUAUUACCACAUCUCUUAUUUGAUGUAUGGUUUUGAUUUCUGAAUACAGAGUAAUUUGAGUGUAUUUCCAGUAUUUCAAGUUUUAACACUAAACAUUCCAUAGUAAUUGUUGGCAUUGUUUCUGUAUUCAGGUGGCUUGAGUAUUUAUUGAAUAGCGUUUCCAAAAAAUUCUCCUCUUUUGUCUACUUCACUUUUUGACUGAAUAGAUGGAGGUUUAAGACAGCUACUAUAUGUACACGUCAAGUUGUGGCUGUUUUAUUUUUCUUCAUUAUGGUUUUGGAUUUGUACAGAUGUAUGUACACGUUAACACAUCUACCAUUGGUUAUUGGACUAACUUUUGUUGAUUUUUACUUUCCAUCUUAUUCAUAGGGUUCAUUUCUAGACUAAUUUUUAAGAUUUGAAGUCAACUUUCUAAAAUCUGUUUAGAUUCACAGAAGACAGGCAAGCAAAUAAUGCCUAGGAGAGAAGCCAUUGAUUCAUACCGUAUUCUGUUUGAGGUGCUGAAGAGAAUGGCAGAUCAGGGAGGAUGCAUAUCGAUGUGGUGAGGACUGACGGUUGCGGGGCGGCGGUAGUGCAACCAUAAGGAUCAGCGGACGUGUGUCGCUGAUUUAGUGAAGAAGAUUCUGGAAAGUUUCUAACUCUUUCUGGUCGUCGUCUAGCUGGGAGUGCCGCCUGUGGUCGAGGCGGCUGCUUCUGUUUGGUCCCUCCUCGCCUCUACUGCGGGAUGAAGCAGGCUAACAAAUGAAAAGUUCAAAGGAACUUGAUUAUGCCGACGAAUCCAAUGGCUGAAUGUCCGAUCUGUGGACUUUUAGAUUCUUUGUUAUUUGAUUAAAUUAUCAGUAUUAUCUUUCUGUGCUCUUUUUGUUUUGUCCGAUUAUUUUGUGGGAAGACCUUAGAUUUUCUUUAUGAUGGCACGAUGUUUCGAAUACUACUAUUUGAUCUAUCUCAUGUAUCUGAACUCUUGAGCUAUUGAUUUGUUUGUAUCAUUAUCCUAAUUUACUAUUGUCAACUUCAGUUAUUUCACAUUCUGGUGAUCGGCUUGAACAUACUAUUAUUUUUAUCAGCUGGUGGAUUAGACUGUAGAAUGAAAUAUGUUCUUUGUCUUAAGAAAUUAUGUAUGAUUUUGAUGUUGUUUCUUGGGCCAUGAUCUGGAAUAAGUUCUGGUUUCAUUCUCCAUUUUCCUGUUUUGUUGUGACACUCAAACUACAAUAAUGGUCAGGCUUCCAAUCUGAUUUAUUUUCCUUGACUUUUUUUCUCAAUUUCUUGGUGUACUAAUUGCACAGAUGCUGGUAGAGAAUUUUUCGUCGGUCUUUACCUUGAUGGCCUCAUAUACCUAACAAUGUUUAUUUUGUAUUUAACCCUAUUUUGUAGCAUUCACAUGAUAUGUACUAAUUACCUUUUUUCUAUUUAUGUUCCCUACUCACAGAUUUCACUGGAAGCAUGUAUGUUUGCUGAUGCUGAGCACUUUCAGGCUGCAGCCAGGUGUUGUUAUAAUAUAUUAAGAGUUUUGGAAAAAUUUGAUGUCCUCCAAUCAGGAAUGAAAACUUUCAGCAUAUGUGCCUGCAUCUAGGUGGCAAAACUAUUCAUACCAAUCUGGGGCAUCCCCUCUAUUUCCCUGGAAUUUACAGUGGUCACGGCAAUAAGACUUCCAAAAAAUAUGCAGCCACUGCUAUUUUGGUUUUUUUAGAGUGUGACAACAAUACAUCGCAUGGUUGAUGUAAUCUUGUUGCAGGGAGCAAUAUUGUUGUGGCAAUCCUUUGGAAGGCACCAAUUUCAUCGACUAGGCAGAAAGUAUGUUUGGUAUUACAUUUUGCCCUUCUCUUCACAAAUAUGUACUAUGUUAUUUUUGAUGUUCAAUUUUGGCUUCAGUAACAAGCUCAUGGGAUAUACUCUGUUUGUAUUAUAUACUCAUUUUGCCCUUCUCUUCACAAAUAUGUUUGGUAUUAUAUACUCUGUUUGCCCUUCUCUUCACAAAUAGGUGCUAGCUUGCUCUGUAUACUCAUUUUCUGCCUUGUAGUAGUCCGCAAGAAGGAGCAGCAGUGAUGGCGAGAAAUCCAAGAGAUGAACCCAAAUAUUCGUCCACUCUGCCUUGCUUGCUAUUUGCCUUCUCAUGUGAUUAUUUUAAUAAAAAGAUGAGCUUUACAACAUACCUGUUCGUCCAUGUUUUAUUAUUCAUCAUUCCAGGUAAAUUUACAUUUCGACGGUAUUCUGUUAAGAUUGUUAUUAUUACACUCGAGUUUUAGUAUGCUGGAAGAAAAAAAUGAUUUCUUUGAUUUCCUGUUUAUCAAGACAGUUUCCUCAUUAUAUGCAGUCAUUAUUAUUAUUAUUAUUGUUGGGUUUCCUAACUUUGAUACUAAAACGGCUUAUAUUGUAGAACAACUGAGUGAUAUCAUUUUGGAAUACUAAAUAUACCACACUGGAAUUUUUAAUCAAGCAAUAAUUGCUGGUGUGAGUCCACCGCCAUUUAUUUAUUUCCUCUACCCAAAAUCUUUCCCGCAGAAUUCAUAUGCGAGAAAGUAAAUUUGUGAGUCUUUUCUUUGUUCCAGUUACACGCAAUAUAUGUCAUAUUUACUAUAUAUUUUGAAGGAUAAAAAUCACUUGACUGCAGAUUUUUUAUUUUUGCACGAAAGUGGUUGAUGCCAUUGUUGACUCAGGAUUUGUAGCUUCUGUCAUUAGCGAGAGAGGAUAGCUGAUAAUGUUGGGGUUCUAUGGUGUUGCAUACUGGGACAACCAUCUAAUUGUGGAUGACAAAUGAAGCAUCGGGAAAAUUUGUCUGCCACACAAUAGAAGAAAAUGUAGAUUUUCUCAAGAAAGGAGAUGAACGCAUCUUGAAUUCCAUCCGUUGUUCUCUAUUUCUAGAGUAGCAGGAUAUUCGAUUCCUUUCGCAGGUGAUUUAGACGGAAAAGGAUUGGGUCUAGAGGGUGUGUUUCCAUAACGCUCAACUUAAAGAGCUAGAAGAUAAAAACGAAUACCUGAUAGAACCAAGGUUGUAUCUCUAAAAUUGUUGUGCAUUCUGUAGUACCUGUAUGGUUGUUUAUAGCCUAUUCGAUUUUGUUGUUUGAUCUCUUUUGCAACACCAAGUGUUAUCUGGUUGGUUGGACUAAUAUGUGCUAUUUUGUGCUGGUCCCGGUAAUCAGGUUAACGCCA